GAAAAACCCUGGGGGAGUCCACGGACUGAGAGUUCCGCCCAAGCACGAAAGCGGAGCGACCCUUUGAACCUGAUCCGGCUGAUACCGGCGUAGGGAACGGACCAUUCUUGAGC
rnacentral:ncRNA from 2 species